rnacentral:rRNA from 1 species
UACGGGGGGGGCAAGCGUUGUUCGGAAUUACUGGGCGUAAAGGGCUCGUAGGCGGCCAACUAAGUCAUACGUGAAAUCCCUCGGCUUAACCGGGGAACUGCGUCUGAUACUGGAUGGCUUGAGAUUGGGAGAGGGAUGCGGAAUUCCAGGUGUAGCGGUGAAAUGCGUAGAUAUCUGGAGGAACACCGGUGGCGAAGGCGGCAUCCUGGACCAACACUGACGCUGAGGAGCGAAAGCCAGGGGAGCAAAGCGGGG